GGGGAGGGCCGGCGUGCCUAUACUUGCAGUUCGAACGAACUUCCUGGUAUUGAUUGGUGCUUGCAUCAUGAUUUACAUUUUGAGUGAGUGGCGAACUGGUGAGUAACACGUGGGAAACCUGCCCAGAAGCGGGGGAUAACACCUGGAAACAGAUGCUAAUACCGCAUAACAACUUGGACCGCAUGGUCCGAGUUUGAAAGAUGGCUUCGGCUAUCACUUUUGGAUGGUCCCGCGGCGUAUUAGCUAGAUGGUGGGGUAACGGCUCACCAUGGCAAUGAUACGUAGCCGACCUGAGAGGGUAAUCGGCCACAUUGGGACUGAGACACGGCCCAAACUCCUACGGGAGGCAGCAGUAGGGAAUCUUCCACAAUGGACGAAAGUCUGAUGGAGCAACGCCGCGUGAGUGAAGAAGGGUUUCGGCUCGUAAAACUCUGUUGUUAAAGAAGAACAUAUCUGAGAGUAACUGUUCAGGUAUUGACGGUAUUUAACCAGAAAGCCACGGCUAACUACGUGCCAGCAGCCGCGGUAAUACGUAGGUGGCAAGCGUUGUCCGGAUUUAUUGGGCGUAAAGCGAGCGCAGGCGGUUUUUUAAGUCUGAUGUGAAAGCCUUCGGCUCAACCGAAGAAGUGCAUCGGAAACUGGGAAACUUGAGUGCAGAAGAGGACAGUGGAACUCCAUGUGUAGCGGUGAAAUGCGUAGAUAUAUGGAAGAACACCAGUGGCGAAGGCGGCUGUCUGGUCUGUAACUGACGCUGAGGCUCGAAAGUAUGGGUAGCAAACAGGAUUAGAUACCCUGGUAGUCCAUACCGUAAACGAUGAAUGCUAAGUGUUGGAGGGUUUCCGCCCUUCAGUGCUGCAGCUAACGCAUUAAGCAUUCCGCCUGGGGAGUACGGCCGCAAGGCUGAAACUCAAAGGAAUUGACGGGGGCCCGCACAAGCGGUGGAGCAUGUGGUUUAAUUCGAAGCUACGCGAAGAACCUUACCAGGUCUUGACAUACUAUGCAAAUCUAAGAGAUUAGACGUUCCCUUCGGGGACAUGGAUACAGGUGGUGCAUGGUUGUCGUCAGCUCGUGUCGUGAGAUGUUGGGUUAAGUCCCGCAACGAGCGCAACCCUUAUUAUCAGUUGCCAGCAUUAAGUUGGGCACUCUGGUGAGACUGCCGGUGACAAACCGGAGGAAGGUGGGGAUGACGUCAAAUCAUCAUGCCCCUUAUGACCUGGGCUACACACGUGCUACAAUGGAUGGUACAACGAGUUGCGAACUCGCGAGAGUAAGCUAAUCUCUUAAAGCCAUUCUCAGUUCGGAUUGUAGGCUGCAACUCGCCUACAUGAAGUCGGAAUCGCUAGUAAUCGCGGAUCAGCAUGCCGCGGUGAAUACGUUCCCGGGCCUUGUACACACCGCCCGUCACACCAUGAGGAGUUUGUAACACCCAAAGUCGGUGGGGUAACCUUUUAGGAACCAGCCGCCUAAGGUGGACAGAGUGGA
rnacentral:rRNA from 2 species